UACGUGGGGUGCGAGCGUUAAUCGGAAUUACUGGGCGUAAAGCGUGCGCAGGCGGUUCGUUGGGUCCGUCGUGAAAGCCCCGGGCUUAACCUGGGAACUGCGUUUGAUACGGAUGGGCUAGAGUUCGGGAGAGGAGAGUGGAAUUCCCAGUGUAGAGGUGAAAUUCGUAGAUAUUGGGAAGAACACCGGUGGCGAAGGCGGCUCUCUGGACCGAUACUGACGCUGAGGCGCGAAAGCGUGGGGAGCAAACAGG
rnacentral:rRNA from 1 species